UCGGGUGUAGCUCAACUGGCAGAGCACGCGGCUUUGAACCGCGUUGUCCUGGUUCGACUCCAGGCACCCGAACCA
rnacentral:tRNA from 1 species